rnacentral:tRNA from 1 species
GAGGAUGUAGCUCAAUGGCAGAGCAUUUGCUUAGCAUGCAGGAGGCCCUGGGUUCUACCCCCAGCAGCACCA